rfam:Schistosoma haematobium scaffold147_46, whole genome shotgun sequence.
AUCCAGCUGACAAGUCCUAAAUAAGACCAAAUGCGCAUCCUGGAU